rnacentral:tRNA from 1 species
GCCGCUGUAGCUCAGCCUGGUUAGAGCGUUACGCUCAUAACGUAAAGGUCGUGGAUUCAAAUUCCGCCAGCGGCA